rnacentral:tRNA from 1 species
AGCUUUAUAGUUGACCAACAACAUUAAACUGCAAAUUUAAAAGUGUACUAUGUACUAAAGCUU